rnacentral:rRNA from 1 species
CAGAGGGUGCAAGCGUUGUUCGGAAUUACUGGGCGUAAAGCGCGUGUAGGCGGCCCUGCAAGUCGGAUGUGAAAUCCCACGGCUCAACCGUGGAAGUGCAUUCGAAACUGCAGGGCUAGAGUCCUGGAGAGGAAGGUGGAAUGCUUGGUGUAGAGGUGAAAUUCGUAGAUAUCAAGCGGAACACCGGUGGCGAAGGCGGCCUUCUGGACAGUGACUGACGCUGAGACGCGAAAGCGUGGGGAGCAAACAGGAUUAGAUACCCUGGUAGUCCACGCCGUAAACGAUGAGUGCUAGGUGUCACGGGCUUUGACCCUCGUGGUGCCGAAGCUAACGCGUUAAGCACUCCGCCUGGGGAGUACGGCCGCAAGGCUA